ensembl:lncRNA
UUUUGCGGUGCCCGCGUUGCCCGGGCCGGGGUGCCUGUGGUUCCCGUGCUGCGGUGCCCGCGUUGCGAGGCGCGGGAGACGCGGAAGUGCCUUGGCCACAGGGGGCCCAAGGUCACGGUGCCCGGGCCGUGGGGAGACGUGGCGGCCGGGAAUCGCGGGAGUACCCGGGCUGCGGUCAAGAAUCCUCCAUUAUGCUGGUUGCAGAAAGGAAGUACUUCGAACCGGAUCCUUCCUGGUUGUGACCCUUCUUGUUGCCACGAGAAUUGAGGUGAUGACCCCUGAUGAAGAAAUGAUUGAUCGCCUUCUGGAGUGUCAAAAGACUUCCUGCUCUUAGUAGAUUACUGAGAGGAAAAAUGCCACGCGUCAGAAGGAGAACCACCUCCAGUGGGCUGGUUCCUGCAUGGGACAACAACAUGUCACGUUGUCGCGCUACCUCAAGGGGAGGGCAGAGGAGGGCAGUGAAGCCAUUUAUUUUGGGCUAACCCCUGAUGAGCUGCCCAUUCCCUGCUUCCUGGUCGAGGAAGGACUGGAUCACCUCCUUCAUGGAGCGCAGUAGCAGCCUCCCCCUUCGGCGUCCAAAGGCCACUAGCCAACAACGGUUGUCCAGCUUCAAUAAAAACAAUGUCAACUUGUUCUACCAAAAUUGAAAGACGGUGCUGGACCGGCACCAGUUCCAGGCCAAGGAUAUUUGGAACAUUAAUGAAACCGGGGUCACCACUGUCCAGGUGCCAGACUGUGUCGUCGCCCAGAUGAGGCAGAAGCAGGUCGGGUCAGUGACCUCAGCGGAGAGGGGGACCCUGGUCACAGUUGCCCUCGCAUGCAAUGCGCAGGGCGACCUUGUUCCGCCAUUCUUUAUCUUCCCCUGUAAGCAGUUUGAAGACCACUUCCUGAGGGGUGGACCCGUUGGCUGUGCUGGCACCGCCAACCCAACUGGCUGGAGGAAGGAGCCAGACUUCCUCCUGUAACUGGCCCACUUCACCAGUCACACCCGUGUGUCCAAGGAGUCGAAGCUGCUCCCCCUGCUGGACAAUCACCCGUCCCACCUGUCAAUUGCAGCAAUCGAUUACUGCAGAGCCAACGGCAUAGUGCUGCUGUCAUUCCCUCCCCACUGCACCCGCAGGUUGCAGCCAAUGGACAUUAGUGUCUUCGGCCCCCUAAAGGGGUACGUAAACAGUGCGGCGGACAGGUGGAUGAGGAGCCACCAAGGGAUCAACAUCUUGAUUUAUGAUGUGCCCUCCAUCGUUGCUGAAGCCUUACCAGAGGCUGCAACAGUGAAGAACAUCACCUCCGGGUUCUCUAGUCAAGGGAUCUGGCCUUUUAAACCCUCCGCGUUUGAGGAAAAGGACUUCACCGGAUCCUAUUCCACAGACCGUCCUCCUCCCCAGGCUUCAGGUGACGAGGUCAGCACUUCUCCAGGUGCCACUUCAGGCAUGGAUGUACCUGGACGAGCUGCCGGGCCUGACGAAGCUGUCUGGCCUAAGGAAGAUGCCCUCAAAUUCAGCCUGGACAUCGUCCGGUCUUACCCUAAGGCCGGGCCUAGAAAGAUUACAAAGAGAAGAGGGAGAAAGAGGACAACUGCUAUACUUACGACACCCCGAACUCUGAAGCAGUGUCGUCCCGCCAAGCAGCCUCCCUCCUCUCGGGCUCCCAAGAAGAGGCUCUUCUCGCCCGCUCCUGAUGCCGCCCCCCUUGCUGGAGUCACCCCUGGUGCCACCUCAGCUGCUCCUCCCACCAUCACCUGGCCCGCUGAUGGAGUCACCCCCACCUUGGGUCCAGUGUGAUUUUUGCUAUAAGUGGUCGCAUGAGGCUUGCACCGACGGGAGUACACACUACCUGUGUCACCUGUGUGACAAAAAAUAAAAAUAUUUACUACAUUAACUACAUUGGCACUGCACCGGCUUCCUCCAUCUUCUGCCCCACCUUUUCAAAUAAAUCUCUGUUUUCCGACGGCGACAACAACACGACUACCCCCUCCUUCGACUCACGGCCACCGGAAAAGAUCUCCA